rnacentral:rRNA from 1 species
UGGGGAAUAUUGGACAAUGGGGGAAACCCUGAUCCAGCCAUGCCGCGUGAGUGAUGAAGGCCUUAGGGUUGUAAAGCUCUUUUGCCAGGGAAGAUGAUGACGGUACCUGGAGAAUAAGCACCGGCUAACUUCGUGCCAGCAGCCGCGGUAAUACGAAGGGUGCUAGCGUUGUUCGGAAUCACUGGGCGUAAAGCGUGCGCAGGCGGCCAUUCAAGUCAGGGGUGAAAUACCUGGGCUCAACCCAGGAACUGCCUUUGAAACUGUAUGGCUAGAGUCUCGGAGGGGGUGGCGGAAUUCCUAAUGUAGCGGUGAAAUGCGUAGAUAUUAGGAGGAACACCAGUGGCGAAGGCGGCCACCUGGACGAGUACUGACGCUCAUGCACGAAAGCGCGGGGAUCAAACAG